rnacentral:rRNA from 1 species
GACGAACGCUGGCGGCGUGCUUAACACAUGCAAGUCGAACGGAAAGGCCCUGCUUUUGUGGGGUGCUCGAGUGGCGAACGGGUGAGUAACACGUGAGUAACCUGCCCUUGACUUUGGGAUAACUUCAGGAAACUGGGGCUAAUACCGGAUAGGAGCUCCUGCUGCAUGGUGGGGGUUGGAAAGUUUCGGCGGUUGGGGAUGGACUCGCGGCUUAUCAGCUUGUUGGUGGGGUAGUGGCUUACCAAGGCUUUGACGGGUAGCCGGCCUGAGAGGGUGACCGGCCACAUUGGGACUGAGAUACGGCCCAGACUCCUACGGGAGGCAGCAGUGGGGAAUAUUGCACAAUGGGCGGAAGCCUGAUGCAGCAACGCCGCGUGCGGGAUGACGGCCUUCGAGUUGUAAACCGCUUUCGCCUGUGACGAAGCGUGGGUGACGGUAAUGGGUAAAGAAGCACCGGCUAACUACGUG